rnacentral:tRNA from 1 species
AUUCUAGUAGCUUAACANAAAGC